rnacentral:rRNA from 1 species
GAUAGUGGGUCGAAGGAUGUAGGUUGUUAAGUAGGCAAAUCCGCUUAACGUUAGACCGAGAUCUUACAGGCUCUUGACACUCUUCGGAGGAGAUGGAGAAUCGAUGAUACUGUCGUGCCAAGAAAAGCCACUAAGUUUAUUAUAUGUUGCCCGUACCGUAAACCGACACAGGUGGGUGGGAUGAGUAUUCUAAGGCGCGUGGAAGAACCCUCUUUAAGGAACUCUGCAAAAUAGCACCGUAUCUUCGGUAUAAGGUGUGCCUACUUUGGUAUAGAAACUUGCUUUCAAAAGCUAGAGAGGUUGCAACAAAGAGUCCCUCCCGACUGUUUACCAAAAACACAGCACUUUGCUAACACGUAAGUGGAUGUAUAAGGUGUGACGCCUGCCCGGUGCUCGAAGGUUAAUUGAUGAUGUCAGCGCAAGCGAAGCAUUUGAUCGAAGCCCGAGUAAACGGCGGCCGUAACAAUAACGGUCCUAAGGUAGCGAAAUUCCUUGUCAGUUAAAUACUGACCUGCAUGAAUGGCGUAACGAGAUGGGAGCUGUCUCAAAGAGGGAUCCAGUGAAAUUGUAGUGGAGGUGAAAAUUCCUCCUACCCGCGGAAAGACGGAAAGACCCCGUGCACCUUUACUACAGCUUGACACUGUAGCUUGGAUAUUCAUGUGCAGGAUAGGUGGGAGGCUAUGAUGACUAGACGCAAGUAGAGUCGGAGCCAUCCUUGAGAUACCACCCUUGAAUAUUUGAGUUACUAACUGCGAUGAGUUAUCCUCAUUCAGGACAAUGUCUGGUGGGUAGUUUGACUGGGGCGGUCGCCUCCUAAAUAGUAACGGAGGCUUACAAAGGUUAGUUCAAAGCGGUUGGAAAUCGCUUGUUGAGUAUAAUGGCAUAAACUAGCUUGACUGUGAGACCUACAAGUCGAACAGAGACGAAAGUCGGUCAUAGUGAUCCGGUGGUUCUGCGUGGAAGGGCCAUCGCUCAAAGGAUAAAAGGUACGCCGGGGAUAACAGGCUGAUCUCCCCCAAGAGCUCACAUCGACGGGGAGGUUUGGCACCUCGAUGUCGGCUCAUCGCAUCCUGGGGCUGUAGUCGGUCCCAAGGGUAUGGCUGUUCGCCAUUUAAAGCGGUACGCGAGCUGGGUUCAGAACGUCGUGAGACAGUUCGGUCCCUAUCUUCCGUGGGCGUAGGAAAGUUGAAGAGAUUUGUCCCUAGUACGAGAGGACCGGGAUGAACCAACCACUGGUGUACCAAUUGUUCUGCCAAGAGCAUCGUUGGGUAGCCACGUUGGGAUGUGAUAAGAGCUGAAAGCAUCUAAGCUCGAAGCCAACUCUAAGAUGAACUUUCCCUGAAGUUCCCAGCAAGACUAGCUGGUUGAUAGGCUGGAUGUGUAAUGGGUGUAAGCCCUUUAGCUGACCAGUACUAAUAGAACGUUUGGCC